UAGAGAGAGAGAGGGAUAGAGAGAGGGAAAGAACCUAAUAAGACCAGCAGGGGGAAACGAAUAGAAGAGAAAGCACAGGGACAAGACAUGACAAUAUAUGACAAUACAUGACAUGAACAGUGGGAGAACAACCUGAAGGUAAUUCUCUUUGCACAAAACAGCAGCGUCCAGGCCUCCACCGAGUAUGGACGGGAGCCGCAGCUGUUGACUGAGAUCACUGAAACCCCACCUGAUAUGAUGGAAGUUGUCGAACCAGAUCAGAACGCCUUUGAGUACCACCUUCAAGCACAGACUGAGAAGGAUGGAGGUUUUUGACCGGGUGAGCCUGAACAUCAACAAGGCGCAGGAGGAGCGCUACCGGAGCAGAAUCAAGAAGGUGGCCAGGUGCUAUGACAUCCGGGCAAAUUACUUGGUUUGGAAGAAGGACAAAAGGGUUACCUCGGUGGAAGCCAGCAAUCUUCUCCAGUUGGACGGUCAACCACUGAUGCCCUACACGUCGAUGAAGCCCAAUAGAUAAAGACCAUCGACUGUCCGAGCAACCCAGGAGGUGUCCCAUCCACCAGAACCAGUGAGUUUGGAGAAGAUUGAUUCUCUGUGCUCUGAGUCAGAGGGGGACCAGCUUGAGAUCCUAGGGGUUCUGCAACACCCAGACGUGGAGCCACCUGAUGUCCUCCAUUACAUCAUCUGCAGCUACUGUUGUCAUGUCAUUAUCUGCUAAGAAUGUUCUUGCUAUCAUACUGGGCACAAAGAGAUACACAGAUUAACUAAAAACACUACCAAAACUGUCUGUUGAGAAGAAGCAAUAGACAGAACCUCCCAACCACCCUCCAUAUUCCAUACACCAGAAUUCAUUGUUUGUCUGCCAUGUGUGUACAAUGU